GAUGCAAUGUAUAAUGGUGAAUAUCGGACAGUAAAGGAUUAUCCAUAUAUGGUCCAACUUAAUUACGAUUCAUAUGGCGAGCCAGGUCUAGCAUGCAGCGCAGCCAUUAUUUCCGAUUCUUGGGUAAUAGCAGCUGCUCAUUGCGCUCAGUUCGAACGGGUAUUGACAGCUCAAGUCCGCAUCGGAAGUAGUACAACAGCAUAUAAUGGGAUUUCAAUUGACAUAGAAAAAUUUGUCAUUCAUGGUGAUUACUACCCGGAUUUUGCAUGGGAUAACGACAUUGCCUUAAUCAAGGUACUGAUGAUACGAGAACCAUAGAUUUACGUAUCGUUAGAACCGUAAGGUAAAGGUAUACCUUUUUAUUCAUUCCCUUGAACCUUCUGAAUCAGCUGAAAAAUCCAAUCGCUUUCAACGAAUACAUACAACCAAUACAAAUUGCUAGAGAGCCGCCGGCAAUUGGUGACGAUAUAAGCGUACUUGGCUUUGGUUAUCAUCACCAUCUUGAAAUUGGAUCGGGUUUAAGAGCAGCUCAUACUUCAAUCAUUGAAGAUAAAGCUUGCUUUGAAAGUUACGAAUCGAGAUACACAAAAAACAUGAUCUGUACAAGCAUCAAAAGUAUAGAUCUUUGUUAUGGUGAUUCGGGUGGUCCAGCAGUACACAAUGGUAAAUUAAUCGGCAUUAUUUCUCAAGGAUGCGAGUAUACAAAGCCGAAUGCUUUGACAAAAGUGGCAAACUAUUUGGAGUGGAUUUUGCAAAUAACGGGAAUUCAAUAUACAAAUUAGUAACUGCAUUCUUCGAAGUAAAAUUACCAAUAAG